rnacentral:rRNA from 1 species
GGUGGCUGCAUGGCGUGUCGUCAGCUCGUGUCGUGAGAAUGUUCGGUUAAGUCCGCUAACGAGCGCAACCCUCGCUGUGUGUUACAAGUGUCACACGGAACUGCCGGUCAUAAACCGGAGGAAGGUGGGAUGACGUCAAGUCAGCAUGGCCUUUAUAUCCUGGGCUACACACACGCUACAAUGGGAAGGGACAAUAGGUUGCGAAGCCGCGAGGCGGAGCCAAUCCAGCAAAACUUCCCUCAGUUCAGAUUGCAGGCUGCAACUCGCCUGCAUGAAGUUGGAGUUGCUAGUAAACGCAGGUCAGCCAUACUGCGUUGAAUACGUUCCCGGGGCUU